rnacentral:rRNA from 1 species
GACGAACGCUGGCGGCGCGCUUAAUACAUGCAAGUCGAGCGAGAACCGGAGCUUCGGCUCCGGGGACAGCGGCGAACGGGUGAGUAACACGUGGAUAACCUGCCCUCGGCACCGGGAUAGCCCGGGGAAACCCGGAUUAAUACCGGAUGGCCCUUUCGCUCUUCGGAGCGGUCGGGAAGGGUAGCUUCGGCCUCCGGCCGAGGAUGGGUCCGCGGCGGAUUAGCUUGUUGGUGAGGUAACGGCGCACCAAGGCUCCGAUCCGUAGCUGGUCUGAGAGGACGACCAGCCACACUGGGACUGGGACACGGUCCAGACUCCUACGGGAGGCAGCAGUGGGGAAUUUUGAACAAUGGGCGCAAGCCUGAUCCAGCCAUGCCGCGUGCGGGAAGAAGGCCUUCGGGUUGUAAACCGCUUUUGUCAGGGAAGAAAUGCUUCGGGCUAAUAUCCUGGAGUGAUGACGGUACCUGAAGAAUAAGCACCGGCUAACUACGUGCCAGCAGCCGCCGUAAGAC